UAUUGGGAGGAAACAAGAUACAACUUAAGAACUAACAACCGAAGACAACUGAAGAACCAACAACUGAAAACCUAAAAAGACAAUCCAGAAAUUAAGAAGAUAAGAAGACAACGAACAACAUAAGCUACCUGGGUCGCUCCCAGCCGACACAAAAAGGAUAAUGAAUCCAUAAAACUUUAAAGGAAUCCACCACUUCAACGGUAUAACAGUCAAAUUGGUUGUAACAUCCACCUGGGCUAAUACCCCUCUUUUCAGGCUCUAUCACCCACAGAAGGCGGCUUUCCGUUUAACAAUAGUGCCUUCCAGACAGCAGUUCGUUGGGCCCAACACAGAGGCUCAACCAAAUAUACACCCUAACCCUGCUGAGGCGGUGAUUAUGGAAAGAGGAGUAAAGGUGGAAAAAGUUGUGAUGAUGGGAGAAAACAAAGGGAAAAUCAAUCCCAACAGUUUCCUGUCUGAACCUUCCCCAA